CUUUAUUUGAUAUUCUUUAACAACAGGUCUUUGGUUUGGUUACAAAUGCAGGUCUUGGACGAACGUGCGCGUGAUCAGCGUCUAGUUGCUUUACUAGAAAAAUACCAUAAAUCUCAAAAGUAAAUUUGCUACUUAAUUAUCGAACCCUUACCAGAUCUUUCCUUUUUCAACAUACUAAUAUCAAGUGUUUUGGUGCUUACAGGAACAGGGUUUUGGUAUUUGCUUUAUACAAGGUGGAAGCUGAACGUCUCGAGCGUUUUCUUCAGCAAAGGUUUGAUCUUUUAGCCGGAAUCACCUCAACAGAAGAGAAAAAGAUCUUUGAUAUUUUUGCUCAUGAAAUGCAAUGAUUCUAAUAUUUACACAACUAUUUAGAGGUUGGAAAGCUGUAUCUAUACACGGAAACAAAGCACAGAGCGAACGUACCAGGUCUUUAUCAUUGUUCAAAGAAGGAUCCUGCCCGUUGCUGGUAUGUAU
rnacentral:lncRNA from 1 species